UCCUAUUAAUCGCACCAGUUAUCGAUAAAUGGAACUGUAUAUCGAACCCUGCCAAGAGUUCCUUAACGAAAACCGGAACUCUCGAUCUCCGUAUCCCCCCGUUUUAUAAUCAAUUGUAACACUAACUCACUUCUCACUCUAAAUUUAUGUGUGUGAUACUGUUAAUUUGAAUAUACAACUUGCAGCAUGUUCCUUCUUUCCCCUCUUAUGCACAAAAGUAAGCUGCAGAAACCCUAAUUUCAAAACCUAAUCCAAAUCCACUCUAAGUAAGAAAUGAUUUUGACUCCUAAGUUGAGGACGAUGCAGGGCGGUAAGGAAACAUCAGUUAUUCAGAUUUAAGAGGCAAAAUAUACUGUUAAUGGUGCGUAAUUAGGAAAUCUUAACUUAGACGGCGGCGCCGAUGACUGGUUGCCGGAAAAUUUUAGCCGCCUUCGCCGCGGAAUCGUGGCUGCCACCGUAGGGAUGCUGCAAUUCGCCGGGAACUGUGGGGUG
rnacentral:lncRNA from 1 species